UAGGGAAUCUUCGGCAAUGGGGGGAACCCUGACCGAGCAACGCCGCGUGAGUGAAGAAGGUUUUCGGUUCGUAAAGCUCUGUUGUUAAGGAAGAACGAGUGUGAGAAUGGAAAGUUCAUGCUGUGACGGUACUUAACCAGAAAGGGACGGCUAACUACGUGCCAGCAGCCGCGGUAAUACGUAGGUCCCGAGCGUUGUCCGGAUUUAUUGGGCGUAAAGCGAGCGCAGGCGGUUAGAAAAGUCUGAAGUGAAAGGCAGUGGCUCAACCAUUGUAGGCUUUGGAAACUGUUUAACUUGAGUGCAGAAGGGGAGAGUGGAAUUCCAUGUGUAGCGGUGAAAUGCGUAGAUAUAUGGAGGAACACCGGUGGCGAAAGCGGCUCUCUGGUCUGUAACUGACGCUGAGGCUCGAAAGCGUGGGGAGCGAACAGG
rnacentral:rRNA from 2 species